ACUAAAUUCAGACCAUCGGUCUACCGAGCAAUUGCAUCCGCUCGAUGGAAGAUCUUCCCUUUAACGU
rnacentral:pre_miRNA from 1 species